rnacentral:rRNA from 1 species
CAGCAGCCGCGGGAAUACGUAGGGCGCAAGCGUUAAUCGGAAUUACUGGGCGUAAAGCGUGCGCAGGCGGUUCGUUAAGACAGAUGUGAAAUCCCCGGGCUUAACCUGGGAACUGCAUUUGUGACUGGCGGGCUAGAGUAUGGCAGAGGGGGGUAGAAUUCCACGUGUAGCAGUGAAAUGCGUAGAUAUGCGGAGGAACACCGAUGGCGAAGGCAAUCCCCUGGGCCUGCACUGACGCUCAUGCACGAAAGCGUGGGGAGCAAACAGGAUUAGAUACCCCUGUAGUCCCUGUCUCUUAUAC